UACGAAGGGUGCAAACGUUGCUCGGAAUUAUUGGGCGUAAAGCGCACGUAGGCGGACCGGACAGUCAGAGGUGAAAUCCCAGGGCUCAACCUUGGAACUGCCUUUGAAACUAUCGGUCUGGAGUUCGAGAGAGGUGAGUGGAAUUCCGAGUGUAGAGGUGAAAUUCGUAGAUAUUCGGAAGAACACCAGUGGCGAAGGCGACACACUGGCCCAUUACUGACGCUGAGGCUCGAAAGCGUGGGGAGCAAACAGG
rnacentral:rRNA from 1 species